UCUGCAAACCUGAUGAAAUUUCCCUGCUGGGUCUUUUGAAGAAUCUGUGCAAGCAUGUUGUGUUUUUGUUUUACGUUCCUGUACACAUAACUAGAGGAACAAGUUAAAUUGCCAGAUAUUCAGCUCCCUGGGAGAAGCAAACUCUCACUGUAAACAAGAAAAUCCUCAUUCACAGAUUUCAAUGCUUGCUAAAGCAUUUAGGGUUGGCAACGUUCUAUCUUCCUACAGGGAAAGAAAGAUUUCUGUACCCAGACUGGUUCUCCAGACUUCCCCCCAUGCCUGGGGCUCCCAAACCACAUUCAAUAUCCUCUCUCCAAAGAGGAACUGAAUGAGAGGUUUGUCAGUCCCUCCUUGUAAGUAGUCAAACAGGAUGCUUCCUGAAAGAUGUUCCCUUUUGCCCAGAGGCAAGAGAAGAGCCUUCCUCUGUUUUAGUCAUCCGGGCUCAGGCAGGAUGUAAUAUGCAACCUUUCCUUUUUUAAAAUUUUAUAUCCCACCCUUCCUCCCAAAGCGAUAAAAACAAUUUAAAAGUUCUAAAAGCAUCUUUAAAACAGUUCCAGUGUAGCUGCAGACUGGAAAUAUAUCUCGACUUAAAAGGCUUGUUGGAAGAAGAAGACCUUCAGCAGGCACUGAAAAGACAGCAGAAAUGGCGCCUGUCUAAUAUCCAAGGGGAAGGGAUUCCAGAGGACAGCUGCCACAACACUAAAGGCCUGACUGCUGUGACAAACAGAUGAUAUUUGAUCAA